UACGGGGGGGGCAAGCGUUGUUCGGAAUUACUGGGCGUAAAGGGCGUGUAGGCGGCCCGGCAAGUCAGUUGUGAAAUCCCCAGGCUCAACUUGGGAAUUGCAACUGAAACUGCCAGGCUAGAGUUCUGGAGAGGAAAGCGGAACUCCCAGUGUAGCGGUGAAAUGCGUAGAUAUUGGGAGGAACACCGGUGGCGAAGGCGGCUUUCUGGACAGAAACUGACGCUGAGGCGCGAAAGCUAGGGGAGCAAACGGG
rnacentral:rRNA from 1 species